UGUGAUGGGGAGCGAAAUUUAGUAGCGAAGUAGCUGAUUUCACACUGUCAAGAAAAGUCUCUAUCGAGGUUAAAGGUACCCGUACCGCAAACCGACACAGGUGGGUGAGGAGAGUAUCCUAAGGCCAGCGAGAGAACUGUUGUUAAGGAACUCGGCAAAAUGACCCCGUAACUUAGGGAUAAGGGGUGCCACCAUCAGGUGGCCGCAGAGAAUAGGCCCAAGCGACUGUUUACCAAAAACAUAGGUUUCUGCUAAGUCGCAAGACGAUGUAUAGGGGCUGACGCCUGCCCGGUGCUGGAAGGUUAAGGGGAUCUGUUAGAGCAAUCGAAGCAGUGAACUUAAGCCCCAGUAAACGGCGGCCGUAACUAUAACGGUCCUAAGGUAGCGAAAUUCCUUGUCGGGUAAGUUCCGACCCGCACGAAAGGCGUAACGAUUUGGGCACUGUCUCA
rnacentral:rRNA from 1 species